rnacentral:rRNA from 1 species
UGAUGGCGAGUGGCGGACGGGUGAGUAAUGCAUAGGAAUCUGCCUUGAAGUGGGGGACAACCUGGGGAAACUCAGGCUAAUACCGCGUAAUCUCUACGGAGGAAAGCUGGGGACCGAAAGGCCUGGCGCUUUAAGAUGAGCCUAUGUCAGAUUAGCUUGUUGGUGAGGUAAAGGCUCACCAAGGCAACGAUCUGUAGCUGUUCUGAGAGGAUGAUCAGCCACACUGGGACUGAGACACGGCCCAGACUCC